rnacentral:lncRNA from 1 species
ACCUGGCUUCCCUCUCAGCCGCCUCUGCCGAGGGGAAGCCGGCCUUACCGAGGGGAAGCCGGGUUUAAGGGCGAGCACCGCCUCGGCCGCCAUCUUCCAACUGCCUCUCUGACCCUACCCCCUCACCUCCUCUGCUCCCGCUCGACGCGCAGCACUGGCGCCUCAAAUAUCUUUAUCAGUACAUAGCCAAACAACUAACAAAGUGGACCAUGUUAUUGCCAUCACAAAGUUCCUUGCAAUGCAAACUACAAAACUGCCUGGAUAUGACUAUGAAUGGUGAUCAAUCCAAGAUCUUUGAGGCUGCAGCCAACUCUAAUGCAAGCAGGAAGAAAGAAGAAGGUGUUGGGGAGAAGUUGUUUAUUUGCAAACUGCAUGAGGGUGACUUUGGGCAGCAUGGAGACAAGCCCCUUACUCAGCAGAUCCCUUUAGGGGGCUCAUUGCAAAGACCUAUUCUUAGUUCUUAA